rnacentral:rRNA from 1 species
AAAGCGUGCGCAGGCGGCUUUGCAAGACAGAUGUGAAAUCCCCGGGCUCAACCUGGGAACUGCAUUUGUGACUGCAAGGCUAGAGUACGGUAGAGGGGGAUGGAAUUCCGCGUGUAGCAGUGAAAUGCGUAGAUAUGCGGAGGAACACCAAUGGCGAAGGCAAUCCCCUGGACCUGUACUGACGCUCAUGCACGAAAGCGUGGGGAGCAAACAGGAUUAGAUACCCUUGU